rnacentral:rRNA from 1 species
CUCCUACGGGAGGCAGCAGUGGGGAAUAUUGCACAAUGGGCGCAAGCCUGAUGCAGCCAUGCCGCGUGUAUGAAGAAGGCCUUCGGGUUUGUAAAGUACUUUCAGCAGUGAGGAAGGCGGAGUCGUUAAUAGCGGCCUCGUUUGACGUUAGCUGCAGAAGAAGCACCGGCUAACUCCGUGCCAGCAGCCGCGGUAAUACGGAGGGUGCGAGCGUUAAUCGGAAUUACUGGGCGUAAAGCGCAUGCAGGUGGUUUGUUAAGUCAGAUGUGAAAGCCCGGGGCUCAACCUCGGAAUUGCAUUUGAAACUGGCAGACUAGAGUACUGUAGAGGGGGGUAGAAUUUCAGGUGUAGCGGUGAAAUGCGUAGAGAUCUGAAGGAAUACCGGUGGCGAAGGG